rnacentral:rRNA from 1 species
AGUAACACGUGAGAAACCUGCCCUAAAGAUCGGGACAACCACUGGAAACGGUGGCUAAUACCGAAUAUCUUCCCUUGGUCGCAUGGCCAGUUGAAGAAAUGCUCCGGCGCUUUAGGAGGGUCUCGCGGCCUAUCAGCUAGUUGGUGAGGUAAUGGCUCACCAAGGCAUCGACGGGUAGCUGGUCUGAGAGGACGAUCAGCCACACUGGGACUGAGACACGGCCCAG